AAUCAACGCUGGCGGCGUGCCUCAGACAUGCAAGUCGAACGAUUAAGACUCCCUUCGGGGAGUGCAUAAAGUGGCGCACGGGUGAGUAACACGUAAGUAAUCUACCUUUGAGUGGGGAAUAACAACCGGAAACGGUUGCUAAUACCGCAUAAUGCAGCGGCACCGCAAGGUGACAGUUGUUAAAGAUUUAUCGCUUAAAGAGGAGCUUGCGGCAGAUUAGCUAGUUGGUAAGGUAAUGGCUUACCAAGGCUACGAUCUGUAACCGGUCUAAGAGGACGGUCGGUCACACUGACACUGAAUAACGGGUCAGACUCCUACGGGAGGCAGCAGUCGGGAAUUUUGGGCAAUGGGCGAAAGCCUGACCCAGCAACGCCGCGUGAAGGAUGAAGUAUUUCGGUAUGUAAACUUCGAAAGAAUGGGAAGAAUAAAUGACGGUACCAUUUAUAAGGUCCGGCUAACUACGUGCCAGCCGCCGCUGUAAUAC
rnacentral:rRNA from 1 species